GGAUUAGAUACCCUGGUAGUCCACGCCGUAAACGAUGGAUACUAGCUGUUGGGCGCAAGUUCAGUGGCUAAGCGAAAGUGAUAAGUAUCCCACCUGGGGAGUACGUUCGCAAGAAUGAAACUCAAAGGAAUUGACGGGGGCCCGCACAAGCGGUGGAGCAUGUGGUUUAAUUCGAUGAUACGCGAGGAACCUUACCAAGGCUUAAAUGUAGAUUGACAGGACUGGAAACAGUUUUUUCUUCGGACAAUUUACAAGGUGCUGCAUGGUUGUCGUCAGCUCGUGCCG
rnacentral:rRNA from 1 species